rnacentral:lncRNA from 1 species
CAGUGAGGCAUGGAUCAGCAACUAUUCCUACUGCAUUCUUAACAAACUGUCAAAAGAAUAGCUGCGAAAGGUUAGCUGCAAUUGCAAAAAGUUGAAUUAUGUCCUAAAAACAAUUAGAUUUCCUACCUUUCCAUGUAUUGUGUCAAGGGCUCUCAAUUGUCGUGCUGCACCAGAAGAUACACAUGUUGGCCCGAGCAGAUCCCCCAUAUCGGUAUCACUUCCCAUCUCCUCGUCUGUGAGUUUCCAAACUCUCGUACACUCAUAAGAUACAUUAUUAUGUAUCGAUU